AAGCCUCUCUCUGAGCCUGUUGCUGUGAGGUACCUUCACCCACAGCUUUGAUUGCUAUCUGUCUGCUGCUUUGAUCACUUGUAGGAUGGCAGAGAGCUACGUGGCACCCGCAUCCUGCACGUCCCAUGCUUGCGCUGCCAAACAGAACAUCCAUUGCUUUCGACUGAGAAAUGGGUUUCCUGCCGCUAUUCAGAUCAGGAAUACAUACAAUGCUCAGGGUCAGUACUUGACCAGUUCUUUUCCAACUCUUUUUCCAACUUUUCCAACAAUCCCUAGGCUGAUCUCCCCAGGGCUGACUUUAUGGAGAGCUGCCAUCGGCCUCCCCAAGGAGCUGAGCCAUGCCAAGCCCAGCCUUCAAAACCAACACCGCCAUCAGGGCUGCAAAGCCAUCACCAGCACCGCCUGUGCCAGAAAGAGCUCCUGGUGAUGGAUGAAGUGUCAGGGGAGAAACGGCCAAAAUACCGGAGGAAAAAAAACACAGUGGGCAGUUAUAGGUAGAUGAAAUGCAAACAGCUCCGGACGUCCGGAGCUGGGCUAUAGGCAGUUGUGUGUCAGGGAGCUCAAACCCAUCCACUAUUUUUUUUGCAGUGUAUCUAUCGAGGCAUUGAGCUGCUGGUGGGCAGAGCUCCAGCUGAGCCGUGCUGCAGGCAUGGGAUGGCCAGUGGGGCAAGGGAAAGAAGCGGAAGCAAGUUUCCAUUCCAAGGAGCCAGCCAUCCCUCAGACAUUACUGAGCUGAGAGGUUUGCUUCGUUCCCCAGCAAUGAGUCUGUUUGGAGGCACCCAGCUCUUCGUGUGCUCAAACAGGCCCAGGAGAGCCAGCUGGAGGGCGUUCAGUGCUCAUUACCAAAACCACAAGCAACCACGUAUGCCAGCUUCAAAGCAAACCGGUACAAAACGCAAAGGCAGCCUGCAGAGCUCUGCUGCUCUAUUAUAGCCUUGUUUAUCCCUCAUGCCCCUCUGGCCAGAUACUUAUCUGGGUUGGAGACAAGGAGAUGCUGGAAAACAAACCUACAAGAAGAACCAACAGCCAUCCUUGAGGAUGCAGGGCUGAAAUUCCAGUUGCAGUGCAGGCAGCACCAAAACUCUGUGAGCCCACUUCAUCCAUGGCAGCCUCUGGGGGCUCGAGGUGCUCCCACCUCCACAACACAGGGUAGUAUUAAACAAUCAGAUGCUGCAUGAGUGUUGCAACCGCCCCCCAGAGAGGUUCUGCCCUGUAGGGAUGGCUCUGGAUGGCUGACGGUCUGCCUUUGUUUUCCACCCAGCUACAUCACUUGCUCCGUUACCUCCAUUGCAAAAGAGUGGUUCACUUUUUGCAGCCAUCCUGCACAUAUUCUGCCAGCAUCCAGGUGGCUGUGACAACGCACCUGGCAGGGAUAGCUCAGGAUGUCACUGCUGGUGAGCACAGUUUGCUUCCCCACCUCUAGCCUUAUGACAGACACCGGCAUUUCAGUGUGUGUGGAUGCUGCACUGAAAUUCUACAACUUUAGCAUUUAAUUUAGCUUUUAUUCUGCUUGGUGUAAAAAAGAGCUAUCACAAGCAUGCUAAGAAAUAUCUAUUAUCCUACGAGUUGCUUCACACCACAUUAACAGACCAAAAAUAAAGAAAAAAAAAGGAGAGUUUGAUUAAGCCUUCAAUAUUAACACUGCCUUUGAGAGUGGUUUCACUGCUAGCUUUACUCUCACGUUGGAGCUCUGUAACUGUCCCAGCCACAGUGUGGGUUUGUAAUGGGUUUUCACAGAUGGCAACCUGAGCUGGGGGGUGUCCCUGCCCAGGGGAUGGAACUGGGUGGGCUUUAAGGUCCCUUCUGACCCAACCAUCCUGUGAUUCCAUGACUCUAUGAGAUGCUGCUGUAGGAGCUGUCAGUGGGAAUGCUGCUGCUGCUACAGAGCCCCUGGGAAGUGCUGGACAGUGCAACCCCAAAAUCCAGGAGGGAUGAGCACAGCUAUGCCCAGGGCUCACUCACCCCAUGCACAGCAGCCUCAGAGAAGCCUCCCAGCUUCAUAUCCAUUCAUAACAAUAAUUGGAGGAAAUCCUCAGUUCCUGCCAAGAACAAAUAUUUUCCCUAACAGACACCGAACGCUUCAGUAUGAGCUGGAGAGAUCCACUCACUCAGGUCACUGUGCAACCCUACCAGCCAUGAGCACGUGUGCCUUUAUUCCCAGCUGCUCACCGUGCCCACGGCUCCAUCCCACACACAGCAGAGCAGAGCUGCAAACAUACACAGCUACACACGGUUUGGAAGUGGUGGCUUUCCCAUGCAGCCCCUCCAGCUUCUCCUCUGCUUGGCAGGAGCCCUGAGGCUGUGCUGUGCUUCGAUCCAUCCCCUCAAAGCCACAGGAAGGCAGAUGAUUGCUAACAUCAAAAUAUCACCUGGCUUCCUCUCCUCUUUAAAACCAGCCUCCAUCUCCUCAUGACCCUCCUGGCUCUGCCAGCACCUGUUGAUGCUUCAGCACUGGAGUGGGUGAGGGGCAGGAUGUGCCAACAGGGGUCCUAUGGCUGCAGGGCAACGCCUGCAUGAGGGCAAAUGUGAGCGGCAGCAAACAGUGAGCUGCCCUGGCCCUUGCUUGCAUAAAAGGAAGCUGUGGAAAAUGGUUUGAGAAAGCAGAACAUUUUCCAAAUGAGUCAACAUAGCUUUGUCCAAACUAUAUUUUGCACAGUCACGUACCAUCGAGGCUGCGUCUGCCAAAAAAUCAGUGCAAUGGAGCAAAACCAACAAGGAGGGUGAUGGGCUCGUUUCUGUUCCUGACACGGCCCCGAGCCAGAGCCAUCGAGACCAUCACAAAGCACGGCCCAUUCACUGCCUGGCUGGGACCCAGAGAUGUCCCCACCGGGACAGGACCUACGGUGCCACAUGGCUGCACAGGGGUUUGUCACCACGCAACGUGCUGCACACCUGCAACUGUCUUACCUACAGUCAUUGCUGGCUGUCUCAGCACCACGGUGGGAGGCCCAGCAGAUGGAGCACAGCGGACACAACCCCUGUUUCAGGUGAAUUCUGAGCAUCUUUCCCUUGAAAAGAAAAGCGAGCUGCUCUCCUGCUUUACUCAACUCUCUUUCCUGCAGUGCUUUUGGAGAGUUUUGCAGGAAAGAGAUUCCCUUGGAACUGUUCUAACCAUCACUUCUAAAACUCCGCAGUGAAUAAAUAUCUUUUACAAUAACACCCGUUGCCCAGGAGGCCGCCGCCACAGUUCCUCAUGCCCGGAGGAGCCGUUGUGACAGCUGUGCUGGGCUUGGCCACAGCUCCAGCUUCUCUUUCAUGCCCUGCCACGUGCUGCCCUGCUCCGCCAGCCUCACCUCCUCCCUGAGCAUUGUCAGCAGCCCCUGCUACAAGACGUGAUGAAUGAAGCUUCUCAGGGGGACACGGGAGAGGAACCUGGCUGCUGUUUGCAAAUCCCACCACCGCAUCAUUCAUCAGAAAUGAGGAAAGGAUGGGCAAGCCCAGAAGCCCUCUGCAGGGCUGGUUUUUUUUCUUUUGGUGUUUUUCUUUUCAAGCAGCACAAGCAACUGCUUUUGGCCACCGCCACUGAGCCUGUCAGAGCAUCAGGAGUUGGCAGUGGCCUGGCCCUCAUACCAAGGCAACAAGGAGCAGACACAGUGUCAAAUAAGCAUGGAGAUGGUAAGCUCUCCAGCUGCGAGACCUUCCUUUUCUUUUGCACCUUUGCAGACCCCAUUGCCGGAGUGGUUUUAUUUUUCUGCAAUCCUCCCUCUGCUGCGAAGACUUCAGCAAACAGGAGCACAGAUGGGUCUGUAGUGGAAAUGUUGAGUCGUGGCCUGAAGCAGUGAUUGAGCACCUGAUGGGAAGGCAGGGCCAAGCCAGGGGAGUUCAGGUGCAUGCAAUGCAGCUGAAUGACCAGAAGGGCUGGAGCCAGGAUCCACCCCUUCCCAGACCUCACUUAAGGGUUGGCAGUUCCUGUCUACCUGAGGCCUCCCAAAGGUAGUAAGCAGCUUUCUUCCUUUGUUUCUGUGUUCGCAACUGUUGUAUUUGGGCUUGUCUUCAUUUGCUGUAGCCAAAGACUUUGCCGCCCUACCAUUAUCACUUAUAGGUUGUGGAUGCCUCAUCCCUGGAGGCAUUUAAGGCCAGGCUGGAUGUGGCUCUGGGCAGCCUGGUCUGGUGGUUGGUGACCCUGCACGUAGCAGGGGGGUUGAAACUCAGUGAUCAUUGUGGUCCUUUUCAACCCAGGCCAUUCUAUGAUCACUACGUUUUCCAUCACAUUAUAGAGCUGCAGGGUCACACACCAGGUUGGGCUCAGCAAAGCAAAGGGACCUGAGGUCAGCACCAGUCUCUGUAGGUACUGUGAGGUUCCUAUUGGGAACAUGGAGGCCUCUAGAAAGAUUCAAGAGGCCCACAGUGGGCUUGGGAUCAGGCACUGUGUUGCAUGAAAGCUGUUUGUUAGGACUAUGCACAAUGCAAGCCUGGAUAGCAGGGGUUAAACCAGGCAUGUGAUGCAUCAGAUGCGGACAUUUGGGACACAAUUGGAUUUUGUGUCUGCUCCAGAAGGACACUGCAAAGCUCUGUUUGUGUUUCCAGCCCCAUCCUCUCAUGUGAGUGCAAACAGGGGUGCAAUGCCUGGCCCCGCAGGGACAGAGCCGGGCUGCACAAGGCAGUGGGCACAGCCCCAGCACUGCUGGGACCCUCAGGGCCCUGCUCAGCCCAGGGUGCUGCACAAAGAGCCUGGCCAUGCUCUCAGAACCCCAGUGUGAUGGCAGGGAUGCCCAUGUCCCCGGGUACUGCCCGCUCCCAUGGCAGCAUUUACUAUCCGCCAGUUCUGUCUGGUGAGUCACAAAUUUAUAAAUGAAGCAGAUGGGAUUAUUUCUACUGUUUUGAUUUUACAGCGUAUGGAAUUGCAUUACACAUUACUACUACUAAAACCUCUGCUGUGCCCCUAAAAUAGAGCCUGCCACAACCAACCACCCUCCUAUAGGCAUCUUCUGAGCAGACCAACGUGCUGCCUGAAAUGGUCACUACCGCUAUUUCUUAUGUUAGGAACCACUGAACGGUUAAGGUUGGAAAAGUCCUCUGAGAUCCCCAACCCACCCCCACCAUGCCCACUGAUCGUGUCCCUUCGUGCCACAUCUCCACGUUUUUAUGGCAUGGAAACUAUAAGGGUGUUCACAGAGGAGGCAGGAAUGGCACUGAUGCACAUGGGGUACAGUCCAACGCCAUAACUUCAAAACCAUCCAUGCUGCAUGUACAACAGCCUGACCAAAGCCAAACCCAGCUGGCCUCUGAGGUCUCUGCCCCUCCAAGCCAUCUCACUUGCAUUUGAUCCCAAACCAAAGCUCAGUUCCAAUGCAUAUUUCCACCAAGCCACAAACUGACCUUUCCAGUCUCUCAUUCGUGUUUAUUUAAAAAACACUGGGGCUUGGAAGCUGGAACUUCUCUCAGAAGUUACAUCAACAUCAAACUAUUUCCUGGGACACGACUGGAAUUCCAAACCUCCAGUUUUUCACCCUUCAUCCUACCUUUGAGCAAUAUUUGCUACUCCUCAGAGUGGGUGCUGAGGCGGCCUGAGGUGCUGCCCAUCCCAUCCACAGAAAAGCUGCCACAUUUCAAACAGAAAGCCUUCCGUGGCCAUUUAGAGAGUUUUACCACUCCAGAAAAGAGCUGGGUGGUCGGAGUGAGGAGGACAGAGCAGUUUCCCCCAUCCUACAGUUUAAAACUUUUCCCCAUUCAAUAUCAAGACCAGCAUAAAAUAUUUCUAAGCUGUUAAUUUCAUCUUUGGGAGACCGUGAGCUCCUUCAUCUAUUGACCCUCACGGAUACGUGCUCUUACUCUUUGGUUUGGAAAGGAAACAGGGCAGGGGACAGCCUGACUCCCACCCAUCACC
ensembl:lncRNA